rnacentral:lncRNA from 1 species
UUCUUUGCAGUGGGCUUGUGGCAAAGCCUUCGGCCCUCCUCCAAUACAUCAGUUCUACCUGGUGAAAACUCCCUCUCUCCUGCCACAGCCGGCCAAUUGCAUCUCUCUCCAAGACAGGGGCAUAAGCGACCUUCUCCCCCAACAUGGUUCCUGUCUUCUAGUCCUGGCUGUCAUAUCUGCGGCUCCUCAGCAGCUGAGAGAAAACAGCUUUAAAGAACAGUAA